GCCAGUGUUGCUUAGUGGUUAAAGCACCAGCCUGCACAACAAAAGGUCAUGGGUUCAAUUCCCAGUCAAGGGCA
rnacentral:tRNA from 1 species